rnacentral:rRNA from 1 species
UUUCACUCAGUGAAGGAAGAACAAGCAACUGCGAUGCUCAGUAAUGGCGAAUGAACUGGCAACACAAGGCUCAGCCUGAAUGGAAUCCAGCUGCACUCCUGUGCCCGUGGCUCGUGUGUGAUUCAGCAAAUGCUGUGGGUUGAUGGAGUAGGUGGCAAGUCUGGUCAGGCCAUGCACCAAGAAAGACCCUGGAAUGGGCUACGACACAAGGAUACUGUCCUGUAUGGUGCUGUGUGAUGUGGCUUGGCUUGGCUCUGCUGCUUGCAUCCAAGAGUAGAGUUGCUUGGGACUGCAGUUUGAAGAGCGUGGUGUAUCCUACGCAAGGCACAAUACUGACAUGGAACCGAUAGAGCACAAGUAGAGUGAUUGAAGGAUGCAAAGCACCUUGCAAAGGGGGUUCAACGUCCCUGAAGCCUCAGCAGGAACGGCGGAGAGUGGUGUUGUGGUUAUCUGGUCGCUAUCAGACAGUCUGUCCAGCUGGAUUGGCAGUGCCAUCCGCUGGCUGGCUGCUCUGAGACCAGGGUCCAGUGGACCAAACGUUGGAAUCCAAGCAACCUUGGGCUGGCCCAGAGCUGGCUGUUGAGCUCCAUCCUCGACGUUGGAAUGUUUCAUGGCAGCUUGUGGUGACACUCAGCAUACCUGAGCCUGAGGGUGACAGAUCAGAGGACAGAUCACGGUUCAAAAACCCCAAGAGGGGUCAAGAGUUCUGAGAGACGGUGCCAAACCUGCUUUGUCUGCGGACAUUGCAGUACAAUGUGCCUUGAUAUGUUGAAGCUAAGCCAUGCUGCCUGUUGGCUGCAUCGUUUGACGAUGGCUCACUGGUGGUGGAAGCUUUACAGAGAGUGUGCGUUGUAGAUGGCAGUUGAGCUUGGUCYCAGGACMCUCUUUGCCKU